GGAAGUUCCUAAAAGUGCAUGCAACAUCUGAGGAUCUAUGGUAGAGCUGUGUAAUUCUGUGCAGAGAGGAACAGUCACAUGCCAGGAUCCAAUGAUAGCUGGACAAGUCAGUAAGCCCUUGCUGUCACUGCGGAGUGAAAUGAAUGCAGAGUUGAGAGGUGAGGACAAGGCAGCUACUUCAGACAACGAGCUGAAUGAGCCCUUGCUUGCGCCUGUGGAAUCAAAUGACAGCGAGGACACUCCCAGCAAGCUCUUCGGGGCCAGAGGAAACCCAGUGCUGUCUGAUACAAGCACAGCUGAUCAGCAUCAGCCCAGUCAGUCCCACCCAGCAUUCCCUGUUGGGCCCCAGCCAUUACUGACAGCUCAACAGUUAGCCUCAGCGGUAGCGGGGGUGAUGCCAGGAGGCACUCCAGCCCUAAAUCAACCUAUCCUUAUUCCCUUCAACAUGGCUGGACAACUGGGUGGUCAACAAGGACUGGUCCUAACUCUGCCUACAGCUAAUCUCACCAACAUCCAAGGGCUGGUAGCAGCAGCUGCAGCAGGAGGCAUUAUGACUUUGCCAUUGCAAAAUCUACAAGCUACCUCAUCCCUGAAUUCCCAGCUUCAGCAACUUCAGCAUCUUCAACAGCUCCAGCAUCAUCAACAACAGCAGCAGCAGCAGCAACAACAAGGGCAACAACAGCAGCAGCAAACAAGCCAGCAGCAGCAACAAGCUCAGCAGACACAACAAGCCCAACAACCACAAACGCCACAACAGCAGCAGCAGACGCCACAACAGCAGAACCAAACGCAGCCCCAGAGCCAGACCCAACAACCGCCAGCCCAGCAGUCCUCAAACUCCCCUCAGAAACCCAACCAGUCACCAGGACAUGGCCUUCCAUCUCCACUCACUUCUCCAAAUCCACUGCAGCUGGUUAAUAAUCCACUGGCAAGUCAAGCAGCAGCGGCUGCAGCAGCAGCAGCCAUGGGCUCAAUAGCAAGCUCACAGGCCUUUGGCAAUGCACUCUCCAGUCUUCAGGGGGUCACAGGUCAACUAGUCACUAAUGCACAAGGACAGAUUAUUGGAACAAUUCCACUGAUGCCUAAUCCAGUCCCAUCCAAUCAGGCAGCAGGAGGAGCUCAGGGCCUUCAGGUGCAGCCAAUUACCCCACAGUUAUUGACCAAUGCCCAGGGUCAGAUCAUUGCUACAGUCAUUGGAAACCAGAUACUACCAGUGAUCAACACCCAGGGAAUAACACUAUCACCACUCAAACCAGGCCAACAGCUCCAUCAGCCCUCCCAGACGCAAGUGGGACAAGCAGCCUCACAAUCCAACCUUCUGCAUUUGGCUCACAGUCAAGCAUCUAUGUCUCAAAGCCCAGUGCGUCAGGCUUCCUCUUCUUCCUCCUCAUCCUCCUCCUCUUCAGCUUUGAGUGUUGGCCAGUUAGUCAGCAAUCCUCAAACAGCCACUGGUGAGGUGGAUGGGGUGAAUUUGGAGGAAAUCCGAGAAUUUGCCAAAGCUUUUAAAAUCCGGCGCCUGUCUCUUGGUCUGACACAGACUCAAGUUGGCCAAGCUCUAAGUGCCACAGAAGGCCCAGCCUAUAGCCAGUCUGCCAUCUGCAGACACACCAUCCUGAGAAGCCACUUUUUCCUACCACAGGAAGCCCAAGAGAACACUAUAGCUAGCAGUCUGACAGCCAAACUGAACCCUGGCCUUUUGUAUCCUGCCAGGUUUGAAAAGCUGGACAUCACCCCUAAAAGUGCCCAGAAGAUAAAGCCGGUGCUUGAGCGGUGGAUGGCUGAGGCUGAGGCCCGCCAUCGAGCAGGUAUGCAGAACCUGACUGAGUUUAUCGGAAGUGAACCAUCCAAAAAGCGCAAGAGGCGUACCUCAUUCACGCCACAAGCUCUUGAGAUCUUGAAUGCCCACUUUGAGAAGAACACUCAUCCCUCUGGGCAGGAAAUGACAGAGAUUGCAGAGAAACUGAACUAUGACCGGGAAGUAGUUAGAGUUUGGUUCUGCAAUAAGAGGCAAGCACUGAAGAACACAAUUAAACGUUUAAAACAGCAUGAGCCUGCGACAGCAGUCCCUAUGGAGCCCUUAACAGACUCUCUGGAAGAAAACUCCUAAAAAUGAAGAGAAGAAAAGAAAAGAAAAGGAAAGGAAACACACAAACAAAAAUUUAACCAUUUGGACUCUGAAAAUGCCCAUUCAUCACCCUUUUUAAGAACUCAAAUGCAUUCAAAGGGUUCCAGUUUCUUUAUGUUAUAACUGAAAAAAAGAAAACAAAGAGAGAGAAAGAGAACAAGAAAGCAAAAAGGAGCUAGGAAGGAACAAGUAGAGGCGUAUCAAAGAACUCAAGCUAUAACCAAAAAGAAAUAUGUAAAAUGCCUUUGCUCGUCUUCUCAAUGCUGGACCAAAGCUCAAUGUAUGUAGGUAUAUGCACAUUGUAUAGAUAUGGCUAAAUGUUGCUGACAAUCUCGCAAUACUAAACUGUUACUAUUUAAAAAAAAGAAAUACAGAAAUAAAACUGUUCAUCAGUGUUUUACCUCAGCACUCUACUUGUACCCAGUUAAUGACCAACAUUCAAAUAAGAAAUAAAAUAAGAGAGGAAACUGAUUUCCAUGUCAAUGUUUGACUGUAAAAUCUGUUUGGAUGACAUUUUGUAAUGAGCUUUUUGUCAUGUGGUUUGCUUGUUUCCAACUUGAGAUUAUGUGGGGCACAUUAGUUUAUUUAUUGUUAAAAAAAAGUGAUAUUACUAUUUCUUUUUUGUCC